GUCCACCAGCUUCCUAUCUUCUUCGUUUAGCCUGACCCGAAGCCAGCCUGUGCUGGCCACUCUGCAGAGAGAGACACACUUUACUCUAGAAGUCUCUUCAAAUAUGCAGGGAGAGGGGAUUAUUGGAAGAGCAAGGGUUGAAGACCUGCACUUGAACUUGCAGCAAAUAUUCAGCUCCCUUCUUUUUCUUUCUUCUUCCAUGAAUAUCUUCUAGACUUAGAAAUAAUAAACUGGAUGAGGAAUUGGAAGCACAGAGUGUUUGGUCCAAGACCAUCCAGUUGAGAAGUGGGGGAGUCACAUGCAACCUAGUUGGAAUAUCUACAGCAUCCAGCCCUCAGUCACUCACUCUUUCCUAACAUUCAAGAGAUGGGGCAGGAUAUGUGCAGUCAAGGCAGGCUGGCCUCUGCCUCUGCCUGCUUUGGAGAUGAACAGGCAUGUGCCCACUGCUGAGCUAAUCUCUUGGAUCCCACUC
ensembl:lncRNA